ACCUCAAAAAGUAGGUAAUGGCGCAACGCUACUCGUUUGAUCGCCCACUGCACGCAUUUGAACUGUAAUCAAAACUGCUGGUCCUCCAGACGUCAUUAAAGAUGUCAGUGUUCCACUCAAUUUCUUAUUAAAAUAAAAACUGUUUCUCGUAAAAGUCUUUUUCAAACUUCUAGGCCUUCCCAAUUGACUAUUAUUAUCCU
rnacentral:lncRNA from 1 species